rnacentral:tRNA from 1 species
GCUGCUUUGGCACAGUGGUUAGCGCGACGCCUUUACACGGCGUAGGUCACAGGUUCGAACCCUGUAAGCAGCU